CUGCCUAGGCUGGGGGCUGGGGGCGGUGCCACUCUGACAGCCAGCCCCUGCCCUCCAGGGAUGCCAGUCCAGUUUGGGAGAAAGACCAGCGAAUACGGAAUGAGAAACACGCAUAGGUGGCGCGCGGCUGGCAAGUGGCCCAGGCGGGGUGUGGAUCAAGGACGUCGGGCUCAAGCCAGAUCCCCUUCUGUGGGGCUGUGCUCUACGGCGCGGCUCGCUCCCUCACUUGGAGGUCCCCGGGGAACGUGUGGCACACUCAGCAUGUCCUGGAGGCUUGAGAGGAGAUCAGAGAGCGGCGCUCGUGGAUAUCUACGCGUUGUUUGCGUUAUUGUGAUAGAAAGCUACUCCACCUCCCCAAGUCUUCAAUGGCCUGUGAGACACAACAAAAUAAAAACACAGAAGAGGGAAUCAAACAGAUAAGAAUAAUUUUAAAAGCCCAGGCACGGGGCACCUGGGCGGCUCACUCACUAGAGCACGCAACUCUGUGUCUCGGGGUUGCGAGUUCCAGCCCCGCGUUGGGCACACAGAGGUUCCUUAAAAGAAAAAAAAAAGCACCCAGUCAUUUUUGAAAAAGAACCGUCGAAGUCGGGCGCCUGGGUGGCUAAGUCUGUUAAGUGUCUGACUUUGGCUCAGGUCAUGAUCUCUCGGUUCGUGAGUUCGAGCCCCACGUCGGGCUUUGUGCUGAUGGCUCAGAGCCUGGAGCAUAGAUUCUGUGUCUCCCUCUCUCUCUGCCCCUCCCCUGCUCGCGCUCUUUCUCGGUCUCUCUAUAAUAGACAUGAAAAAGCGUAGGAGUAACAAAACAUAGCCUUUGGAAUAAAAUCCGUCAACAGACGGAUGAAACCACAAACAGAUGCCACCGAAGAAAGAAUUACUGACCUGGAAGAUGGUCCUCAGAAAUCAUCUCCUGCCCCAUAUCCCCUCGUGGUGGAUAAGGUUGCUUCCGCCUUCCCUGAGAAAUUGUGGCAGCCCCUCCUCAGAGAUCCAGGCUCUGCCUCUUCCAGGCCCCUCAUCCUGGCGUCUAGGUGUCUGCUCAGCCCGACCU